rnacentral:rRNA from 1 species
UACGUAGGGGGCAAGCGUUGUCCGGAAUCAUUGGGCUUAAAGAGCGUGUAGGCGGCCCGAUAAGUCCGCUGUGAAAGUCCAGGGCUCAACCCUGGGAUGCCGGUGGAUACUGUCGGGCUCGAGUCCGGAAGAGGAGUGUGGAAUUCCUGGUGUAGCGGUGAAAUGCGCAGAUAUCAGGAGGAACACCAAUGGCGAAGGCAGCACUCUGGGACGUGACUGACGCUGAGACGCGAAAGCGUGGGGAGCAAACAGG